rnacentral:rRNA from 1 species
UAUGGCUCAGAUUGAACGCUGGCGGCGUGCUAACACAUGCAAGUCGCGCGUGAAAGGACUUCGGUCCGAGUAAAGCGGCGCACGGGUGAGUAACGCGUGGAUGAUCUACCCAUGAGUUAGGAAUAACGGCUGGAAACGGUCGCUAAUACCAAAUACGCUCCGAUUUCAACUUCGGGGGAAAGGUGGCCUCUGCUUGCAAGCUACUGCUCAUGGAUGAGUCCGCGUCCCAUUAGCUAGUUGGUGGGGUAACGGCCCACCAAGGCGACGAUGGGUAGCCGGUCUGAGAGGAUGACCGGCCACACUGGGACUGGAACACGGCCCAGACUCCUACGGGAGGCAGCAGUGGGGAAUAUUGCGCAAUGGGCGAAAGCCUGACGCAGCGACGCCGCGUGAGGGAUGAAGGUCCUCGGAUCGUAAACCUCUGUCAGGAGGGAAGAACCGCCACGGUGCUAAUCAGCCGUGGUCUGACGGUACCUCCAAAGGAAGCACCGGCUAACUCCGUGCCAGCAGCCGC